AUUUUCUAUAUAGUUUUUGUUUGUUUUUUG
rnacentral:sRNA from 1 species